rnacentral:rRNA from 1 species
UCUGGCAGUCUUCGAUUGUCCGAGUUGUAAUCUAUAGAAGUGUUUUCCGUGCUGGACCGUGUCUAAGUCCCUUGGAACAGGGUAUCAAAGAGGGUGACAAUCCCGUGCUUGAUACGACCACCAGUGCUCUGUGAUACACUCUCUACGAGUCGAGUUGUUUGGGAAUGCAGCUCAAAAUGGGUGGUAAAUUCCAUCUAAAGCUAAAUAUUGGCGAGAGACCGAUAGCGAACAAGUACCGUGAGGGAAAGAUGAAAAGCACUUUGGAAAGAGAGUUAAACAGUACGUGAAAUUGUUGAAAGGGAAACGAUUGAAGUCAGUCGUGUUCAUUGGACUCAGCUAGUUCUUCUAGUCUACUUCCUUUGAACGGGUCAACAUCAGUUUUGUCCGGUGGAUAAAGAUAGUUUCAAUGUAGCUUCUUCGGAAGUGUUAUAGGUUUCUAUCACAUACACUGGAGGAGACUGAGGACUGCAGCUC